UGGGGAAUUGUUCGCAAUGGGCGCAAGCCUGACGACGCAACGCCGCGUGGAGGAUGAAGACCUUCGGGUCGUAAACUCCUUUCGAUCGAGACGAAUGGUUUCCGGGUGAACAAUCCGGAGAAGUGACGGUACCGAGAGAAGCAGCCCCGGCUAACUCCGUGCCAGCAGCCGCGGUAAUACGGGGGGGGCAAGCGUUGUUCGGAAUUACUGGGCGUAAAGGGCUCGUAGGUGGCCAACUAAGUCAGACGUGAAAUCCCUCAGCUUAACUGGGGAACUGCGUCUGAUACUGGAUGGCUUGAGUUUGGGAGAGGGAUGCGGAAUUCCAGGUGUAGCGGUGAAAUGCGUAGAUAUCUGGAGGAACACCGGUGGCGAAGGCGGCAUCCUGGACCAACACUGACACUGAGGAGCGAAAGCCAGGGGAGCAAAC
rnacentral:rRNA from 1 species